rnacentral:lncRNA from 1 species
GAAACUGUGAGCUGGUUGUUGCAUUCAAACACAAACAAAAUCAAAAACACUGAGGACUUCCACUCAAGCUGGUCUUUCUUCCCCAGUGUGAGGCAAUCCUGCCUAUUAAUAAAAAUUAAAAAAAUUUAAAAAUCACUCCAUCUGUGAAGCUGAUUCAGUCAAAGGGUAGGAUAGGCAGGGCAUUUGUGUCAACUAAGAGAAUCACCAGAUACCCAUCAUAAGUACCUAUCAUAGUUUUGAAGUCGUUUCUCUCCCAACUCCCAUCUCCCAACUCCUGAAGGUUGCUGCCUGCAUAUAUACUCUUCAUUAGUGCUAUUUUCCUGUAUAUCAUUGUGAGCAAGCUGUGAUUAAUAAAGAACUGGAGUUCUGUGAACUAAAAAAAUAAACACAUAAGAAUUUUAAGAAUUACACUGGAAAAAUGGAGAAUUAAACAUACGGCAUACUUUC